GGAGAGAGGAUGCAUUUCUCUGCUCCUGCAGAGGCAAGAUGUCUUUCUGUAAUAUACCAGCUUUGAACUGUAAAUAAAGCAAUAAAGAGUAUGCAGCACGUAUUCUCAUCCUUCCGUUGGGCACGACAGACUCUGCUUAAAUCAACACGUGGUUAUGGGCUACAGAGGUCGAAUCGGAGUGCCGGCAAAGGAUCGGAAUGCAGAGGGAGGACGGAUCGGAAAGGAAUCUGCUCUGCGCGUAGAAGUGAUUGAUGAGGUAUGUGCUACUGCUCCGGGCAGCCUGCCAGCUUCAAGUUAAUGGCUUUAUGGCUGGACUUUGAACUUUAAAGCCGGUUUUGCCGGGAAUAGGCAAAAGGCUCCCAGGCACAAAUCACUAUGCUGGGGAAAUCGAAAGUAACUUUUAAGUGUGCCUUUGUAAUCAGGCAGCUGCAGCAGUGACGCAGCAAGAUUUAAAGCAGCAUAUAUAAUGACGCUGAAGGCUAAUGCCAGAGUCAUGAUGGCCCUUCAGGAUGCUAGUGGGAUUCCUAAGCUCAACAAGAAAAAUUACAGCGACUGGGUUCAGUAUGCAGAGGCAAUUCUGCGGAAAGAGGGUUUGUUUGAGGUGAUUACAGAAACCCCCCCAGUUCCAGUUACAGAUGCAUGGGAAGCUAAGGAUUCCAAAGCAAGGGGAACUCUUACAUUGAUAGUAUCCCCAGAAGAGCUCUGUCUAUUGCGUGAUAAGACCUCAGCCAGAGAAAUUUGGGACGCUCUGAGAGAGGCUCACUUAAGGACAGAAGCUGGAUCAACUAUGUUUUAUUUUAACAAGCUGCAUAAUAUGGCUCUUGCUGAAGGUGGAGAUGUGCGUUUACAUCUGAUGCAGAUGCAAAAUCUGAGACAUGAGCUGCAACAGAGAGGACUCAACUUUCCAGAGGCUGUGUAUUCUUUCAUGAUACUACAAUCUUUAGGUUCAGGUUGGGAGUCUGUUGCAACCCAGAUUGCUGUGCAACCAACUGCUCAGCUGACAGUGGACUUUGUUACUGCCGUGAUUUUAAAUGAAGCAGAUCGCCGGGGUGCUAGCUGCAUGGGCAAGGGAGAGUCUUCACAGACGUCAUCCCAUAGUGCAGUGGAACCACCAGAUGGCGCCAAAGCUUUGAAGGCAGUGAAAUGCUACUCGUGUGGACGUCUAGGCCAUAUGAAGAGGGAAUGCAGACAUCCCAGGGCCAAGACAGAGCAGCGCAGCGAAAGCUCAUCGCGCGGAAAAGGCCGAGGCAAAGGCAAAGGUCCGGUGUCUAGGACAACGCAGCACAAGGCUAUGGUUUCACGCUUCACUCCAAAGGUUGCAGAGGUCCAGAAGACGUCUAGAUCUUUCUUCGUUGUUGAUUCAGCGGCCACCCACCACAUGUGCAACGAUAAGAAACUGUUUGUGUCUUUUACACCGCAGGAAGGUGCGAUUCACCAGGCGGAUGACCACACUAUUCCCAGUAAAGGCUACGGAACUGUUGUUCUUCACAGUUUGGACUUAUCGAUACAGAAUGUGCUUUACGUGCCAGACGCCAAACAUAAUCUGCUCAGCGUUGGACAGCUGAAUGAGCGGAACAUUGACGUUUCCUUCAAGAACAAGAAGUGCAUCAUCAC
rnacentral:lncRNA from 1 species